rnacentral:rRNA from 1 species
GUGGGGAAUAUUGGACAAUGGGCGCAAGCCUGAUCCAGCCAUGCCGCGUGAAUGAUGAAGGCCUUAGGGUUGUAAAGUUCUUUCGCCAGGGACGAUAAUGACGGUACCUGGAUAAGAAGCCCCGGCUAACUUCGUGCCAGCAGCCGCGGUAAUACGAAGGGGGCUAGCGUUGUUCGGAUUUACUGGGCGUAAAGCGCACGUAGGCGGAUCUUUAAGUCAGGGGUGAAAUCCCGAGGCUCAACCUCGGAACUGCCCUUGAUACUGGAGAGCUUGAGUUCGGGAGAGGUGAGUGGAACUGCGAGUGUAGAGGUGAAAUUCGUAGAUAUUCGCAAGAACACCAGUGGCGAAGGCGGCUCACUGGCCCGAUACUGACGCUGAGGUGCGAAAGCGUGGGGAGCAAACAGGAUUAGAAACCCUAGUAGUCC